GUGGUCACUUUGGCAGCACGUGUACUAACAUGGAAAGAUACAGAGAAGGUUGGCAUGGCUACUGUGCAAACAUGAUGCAAAAAUUUGUGAUGUGCUCCACAUUUAA
ensembl:snRNA U6 U6 spliceosomal RNA